rnacentral:rRNA from 1 species
AUUGAACGUUGGCGGCAUGCCUAACACAUGCAAGUCGAACGGCAGCACAGGAGAGCUUGCUCUCUGGGUGGCGAGUGGCGGACGGGUGAGGAAUACAUCGGAAUCUACUCUGUCGUGGGGGAUAACGUAGGGAAACUUACGCUACUACCGCAUACGACCUACGGGUGAAAGCAGGGGAUCUUCGGACCUUGCGCGAUUGAAUGAGCCGAUGUCGGAUUAGCUAGUUGGCGGGGUAAAGGCCCACCAAGGCGACGAUCCGUAGCUGGUCUGAGAGGAUGAUCAGCCACACUGGAACUGAGACACGGUCCAGACUCCUACGGGAGGCAGCAGUGGGGAAUAUUGGACAAUGGGCGCAAGCCUGAUCCAGCCAUACCGCGUGGGUGAAGAAGGCCUUCGGGUUGUAAAGCCCUUUUGUUGGGAAAGAAAUCCAGCUGGUUAAUACCCGGUUGGGAUGACGGUACCCAAAGAAUAAGCACCGGCUAACUUCGUGCCAGCCGCCGCCGUAA